GCCCCUGUAGCUCAGUUGGUAGAGCAGGAGACUUUUAAUCUUCGGGUCCAAGGUUCGAUCCCUUGCGGGGGCAC
rnacentral:tRNA from 3 species